AUACGAAGGGGGCUAGCGUUGUUCGGAAUCACUGGGCGUAAAGCGCGCGUAGGUGGAUCAAUUAGUUGAGGGUGAAAUCCCGGGGCUCAACCUCGGAACUGCCUUCAAUACUGUUGUUCUUGAGACCGAGAGAGGUGAGUGGAAUUCCUAGUGUAGAGGUGAAAUUCGUAGAUAUUAGGAAGAACACCAGUGGCAAAGGCGGCUCACUGGCUCGGUACUGACGCUGAGGUGCGAAAGCGUGGGGAGCAAACAGGAUUAGAAACCCUAGUAGUCC
rnacentral:rRNA from 1 species